CAUUGUCUCUUCCUCAAAUAAAAUAUUUGUGUUACACUGAGCUUCAACCAUCCAAUACCAAACACUGUUGUUGCAAUGUAUAACAAAGAAGGAGCAAGGGGUGGGGGUGGGGUAAGGAAGACAGAGUAGACACCAGAGAGCAAACAAGUAGGCAAUAUAAGGAAACUAAAGCUAAUGACAGGAAAAUAGCUUGGCAGGAGGGAGAAAAGCAUUGUGCUAUAAAGAGGAAGUCUUUGUGUGUGUAGGUGUAUGUUGGGGGGAUAGUGUUUUGCAUUUUCGCUGCAGUGGUAGCUAUUCAAAUCUGAUAGCAACUGUAAUUAUGUAAUAUAAAACACUAGGUAAUGAGCACCCAGGACCACCCUGUACUAUCUUUGUAACUUCCUGUGAGUAAACAACUUCAAAAUAAAAAAAUUAAAAAAAAAAAAA
rnacentral:lncRNA from 1 species